GACGAACGCUGGCGGCGUGCUUAACACAUGCAAGUCGAACGGAAACGCCCUGCUUGCAGGGUCCUAGAGUGGCGAACGGGUGAGUAGCACGUGGGUGCUCUACCCUGCACUUCGGGAUAAGCCUGGGCAAAUGGGUACAUUACCGGAUAUGACAUUCCAUGUAGUGGUGGGGGCGGGAGGAUUUCUCGGGGUGGGAUGAUCGAGCGGCCUAUCAGCUUGUUGGUGGGGUAAUGGCUUACCACGGCGUCGACGGGUGGCCGGCCGGUGAGGGUGGACGGCGACAUUGGUACUGCGAUACGGCCCAGACUGCUACGGGGGGCAGUAGGGGGGAAUAUGGCACAAUGGGAGGAAGCCUGAUGCGACGACGCUGGGGGUGGGAUGACGGCCUGCGGGUUGUAAACCUCUUGCGGCAGAGACGAAGCUGCGGUGACGGUACCUGUAGAAGAAGCACCGGCUAACUACGUG
rnacentral:rRNA from 1 species